rnacentral:rRNA from 1 species
CCUACGGGUGGCUGCAGUCGAGAAUCAUUCACAAUGGGGGAAACCCUGAUGGUGCGACGCCGCGUGGGGGAAUGAAGGUCUUCGGAUUGUAAACCCCUGUCAUGUGGGAGCAAAUUAAAAAGAUAGUACCACAAGAGGAAGAGACGGCUAACUCUGUGCCAGCAGCCGCGGUAAUACAGAGGUCUCAAGCGUUGUUCGGAAUCACUGGGCGUAAGGCGUGCGUAGGCUGUUUCGUAAGUCGUGUGUGAAAGGCGCGGGCUCAACCCGCGGACGGCACAUGAUACUGCGAGACUAGAGUAAUGGAGGGGGAACCGGAAUUCUCGGUGUAGCAGUGAAAUGCGUAGAUAUCGAGAGGAACACUCGUGGCGAAGGCGGGUUCCUGGACAUUAACUGACGCUGAGGCACGAAGGCCAGGGGAGCGAAAGGGAUUAGAUAACCCAGUAGUC